rnacentral:tRNA from 1 species
GGGGGUGUAGCUCAGAGGCAGAGCGACGGUCUCCAAAACCGGCAGCGCAGGUUCGAUUCCUGCCACCCCCGCC